rnacentral:rRNA from 1 species
GACGAACGCUGGCGGCGUGCUUAACACAUGCAAGUCGAACGGAAAGGCCUUUUCGGAGGUACUCGAGUGGCGAACGGGUGAGUAACACGUGGGUGAUCUGCCCUGCACUCUGGGAUAAGCCUGGGAAACUGGGUCUAAUACCGGAUAGGACCGCACUUUAGUGUGUGUGGUGGCAAGUUUUUUCGGUGUAGGAUGAGCCCGCGGCCUAUCAGCUUGUUGGUGGGGUAAUGGCCUACCAAGGCGGCGACGGGUAGCCGGACUGAGAGGUUGGUCGGCCACAUUGGGACUGAGAUACGGCCCAGACUCCUACGGGAGGCAGCAGUGGGGAAUAUUGCACAAUGGGCGCAAGCCUGAUGCAGCGACGCCGCGUGGGGGAUGACGGCCUUCGGGUUGUAAACGCCUUUCGCCAGGGACGAAGCGUUUUGUGACGGUACCUGGAGAAGAAGCACCGGCUAACUACGUG